rnacentral:sRNA from 1 species
UUACAGGGCGAAGUUGAACAAAUUGCUAUGAUGAAACCAAAAGGCCAGACUGAACACGAUGAGGUUAAACAGGGUAAAGAUGGUGGAAAAGGAAAAGGAUGCCUUAGAAGGAGAGAAAAACAUAGCUAUCGAAUUUCUUACCUUGGAAAAUGAAAUAUUUAGAAAGAAGAAUCAUGUUUGUCAAUAUUAUAUUUAUGAGUUGCAGAAACGAAUUGCUGAAAUGGAAACUCAAAAGGAAAAAAUUCAUGAAGAUACCAAAGAAAUUAAUGAGAAGAGCAAUAUACUAUCAAAUGAAAUGAAAGCUAAGAAUAAAGAUGUAAAAGAUACAGAAAAGAAACUGAAUAAAAUUACAAAAUUUAUUGAGGAGAAUAAAGAAAAAUUUACACAGCUAGAUUUGGAAGAUGUUCAAGUUAGAGAAAAAUUAAAACAUGCCACGAGUAAAGCCAAAAAACUGGAAAAACAACUUCAAAAAGAUAAAGAAAAGGUUGAAGAAUUUAAAAGUAUACCUGCCAAGAGUAACAAUAUCAUUAAUGAAACAACAACCAGAAACAAUGCCCUCGAGAAGGAAAAAGAGAAAGAAGAAAAAAAAUUAAAGGAAGUUAUGGAUAGCCUUAAACAGGAAACACAAGGGCUUCAG